ncrna:unclassified sequences dfrA-dnaX RNA
AUGACUUGUGAUAAAACUAUAUUAAUUUCAUCAUAAUCUACAUUAUAAAGAGUAAUAAAAAAGGAGAUUAUGAUAUAAU